ensembl:lncRNA
AUUUUUCAGCAUAGUCAUGACCAUUAGCUGUGCAGUAGGAAUGCCUGCCUAUGGAGCCCUGCUGCUCUGGAUCCCAACUGUAGUCUGAUUUCCUGGCUUGGCCUUGGACCUGCCUCAUCCUUAUGGACCUGCACGGUGAUCCCUGGACCUGGUCCGACCUGUGGAUUGACUUCCUGACUUCAUCGUGGAGUUGCCUCAUCCACAAGGUGCUGUGGUAAAGGCUGUGGUUGGUGGGAUGCCUGGCAGUCAUGGGACCUUCCUUAGCUCCUGGCCUGCCUCCCUGAGGGAGCAGCCCUUCUCUUGCUGCUCUCUGGCACAUCUCACCAAACCAGACACCAGAAGGGCCAGCAAGGCAAAAGGGAUCCUAGGUGGCCUGAAGCUUUCCAAAGGUCUGUUUCGCCUUGUGUUAGCCCACUUGGGAGCUGAGCAUCUGCACUUGGAGUUGGUAUCUCGUGGCUGUGGGGCUGCAGGGACGUGCAGGCUGCAUGGCAGUCCCCGUGUCAGGACCAGCUGCUCCAUCCCUGGGGCCACGUACCCACUGAGGCAGAGUCCUACUGCUGUAUUGGCCACAGGAGAUUCACCAGGGAAGGGGAGCCAGUCCCAGGAAGGGUUCUUGUGUCCCAAGACCCAGGCCCAUGCCAAUGGGCUGGCAGGCUGUUAUUAAAGUAAAGGACU